CGGUGGCCACCGAGAGCAGGAAGAUGGCGGCGCCGAAGAAGACGUGCUGGGGGCGGUAGCGGCUCCGCAGGGAAAACGAGGCGCCCGGGAACAGGAAGAAGCUAAAGCCCACGAGCCACUGGGAGGAAAGGCGAGGUGCUGCCGGAGCCCGAGCUGCGCCCGCUCCGCGCAGCCCGGGGACGCCCCGGGCGCACACCUGGCCACGGCCUGUUCGGGCCCUGCUCCCCGCCCCUCCCCGCCGCCGUGGGGCCGAGGACUCACCUGCACGAAGAAGAGGGCGAAGACCAGGAUGCCGCACCAGCUAUGUAGGCUGUACAGUCAGCAGAGGUAGAGGAAGGGCGCGCCGGCCCCCAACUCACCCACCAAGGCGAUGACGAAGGCGAAGACGUGCAGCAGCCCGUGCAGGACUUUGGUGGUGCGUUUGGCCUCAUUCCUGAAGACGCGGUAAACCAGCAGGGCUUGUGGGCCAUGAGAAAGGGAAGGUCAGCGCGCUAACCCCAGCCUGCAGCCCUCUGGCCAGGGCAGCGAGGAGACACACCCGCGGCUGAAGAGGGGACCUGAGUCUAGGGCUUGUCCAGCCCCAGCCCCAGGUGAGAGAAGUCCUGCCGACAGGGCAGUCCCCAGCAGCGUGGCAGCAGCCAGUGGAGGGAUGUGCUUUGAGCUGCUUCGCCAGGAAGGACCUGGGAGACAGGAGCCUUCAAGCAGCCCUUUGCCUUCCUGCCUCCACCUGCUCCUCCCGGCCACACCUGCCGCAGUGGGCCUGCACUGCUCCCAGGCCAGGCUUCCUGAACUGAGCCCUCCAAGGGCAGGGUUUGGAGAGCUCCUGGGCUGGUGAAUGCAUCCACGUGGUUCCUCGGGGACAAGCUUCAGUGCUCCAGACUCUUCCAGAUCUUGCUCCACUUACCUCUUCAUCUGGCUGGGAUUUUUUUUAAUAAUAAACCAGAAAUGUAGCAAAUUUCUCUGAGUUCUGUGAGCUGCUCUCCCAAAUUAAUUGAACCCGAGAAGGGGGUCAUGGGAAGCUCUGAUCUGUAGCCUGUUAGUCAGCAGCACAGGUGACAGCCUGGACUUGCAGUUAGCAUCUGAAUGGGGUCAGGGGACAGUCUCGUGGGACUAAGCCCUUAACCUGUGAGAUAUAACCCUGUCUCCUGUUAGGUAGUGUCAGUGUUGAGUUAAACUGUAGGACAGGGACUUCCCUGGCAACCCAGUGGUUAAGACUUCAAGCUUCCAAUGCAAAGGGUGCAGGUUUGAUCCCUGGUUGGGGAACUAAGACUCUUCAUGCUUCAAGCUGUGCCCGAAAAAAAAAAAGAAAAAAAUUGUAGGACCCCCAGCAGCGUCCGCUGAGAAAUGGAGACUCACUUGGUGGUGCUGAAAACACGUGGGAACAGUGUGAUGACAAGACGUGGCUUUAAUGUCCUCACUGAAAACUUCCUGAGUUCCCUUGGGAGUCUGAACCCCAGUGCUGUCUGCACCCUGAGGUGGUAGCCUGGAGAUGAGAGCUUUUGUGCCUCAAGGGCGGGAGCCCUGCUCUACUCAGCUCUUCCUGAGUUCUCUCAGUCUUCACAGUAGUCUGUGAUGAUAAGAGGAUUAUUACCCCCAUUUGACACGUGAGUAAAUUGGGACUCAAAGGGGAUAAUUAGUGAAAGUGGAGGUGUUAGUCACUCAGUCGUGUCCGACUCUUUGUGAUCCCAAGGACUGUAGCCUGCCAGGCUCCUCUGUCCAUGGAAUUCUCCAGGCAAGAAUACUGGAGUGGGGAGCCAUUUGCUUCUCCAG